rnacentral:rRNA from 1 species
UACGUAGGGUGCAGGCGUUAAUCGGAAUUACUGGGCGUAAAGCGUGCGCAGGCGGUUUGCUAAGACUGGUGUGAAAUCCCCGGGCUUAACCUGGGAACUGCGCUUGUAACUGGCAAGCUUGAGUGUGGCAGAGGGGGGUGGAAUUCCACGUGUAGCAGUGAAAUGCGUAGAGAUGUGGAGGAACACCGAUGGCGAAGGCAGCCCCCUGGGCUAACACUGACGCUCAUGCACGAAAGCGUGGGGAGCAAACAGG